CUCUACAUCAGCUGUUGGUAGGCCUUUGUAAACUUUUUAAGCUUUAUCUAUAACUUCUAAAUUCCACUAAGCUUUUGCAAUAAAGUUUGUUGUUGUUUUUAUUUUGAGUUUGCUCGUCCAUUCGUUGCUGCAAAUCUAUAUCAAACUUUUCAUUUUCGCAUUAUGCUGAGUUUCCCAUUCACUUAAAUUCACUUACGGAUAUUUCUUUAAAGAUUUUUGGCUUCUUUAUGCGAAGAGUCGAAGGCAAUAGCAAAAACUGCGAGUUGAAUUUGACUUUUGUCAGUUGAUUCAGUUUUAAACUGUUUGAAAUUUGUUCCUCGACCUUGCACUUUUGUUCAAAACAAUUUUAAGAACAUUUUGUCCCAAGUUUUGAUUGG
rnacentral:lncRNA from 1 species